UACGUAGGGUGCAGGCGUUAAUCGGAAUUACUGGGCGUAAAGCGUGCGCAGGCGGUCUGCUAAGACAGGUGUGAAAUCCCCGGGCUUAACCUGGGAACUGCGCUUGUUACUGGCAGGCUGGAGUGUGGCAGAGGGGGGGUGGAAUUCCACGUGUAGCAGUGAAAUGCGUAGAGAUGUGGAGGAACACCGAUGGCGAAGGCAGCCCCCUGGGCUAACACUGACGCUCAUGCACGAAAGCGUGGGGAGCAAACAGG
rnacentral:rRNA from 1 species